rnacentral:rRNA from 1 species
AGCGUUGUUCGGAAUUACUGGGCGUAAAGCGCACGUAGGCGGAUCGAUCAGUCAGGGGUGAAAUCCCAGAGCUCAACUCUGGAACUGCCUUUGAUACUGUCGAUCUAGAGUAUGGGAGAGGUGAGUGGAACUGCGAGUGUAG